UAUGGCUCAGGAUGAACGCUAGCUACAGGCUUAACACAUGCAAGUCGAGGGGCAGCGGGAUUGAAGCUUGCUUCAAUUGCCGGCGACCGGCGCACGGGUGAGUAACGCGUAUCCAACCUUCCGUACACUCAGGGAUAGCCUUUCGAAAGAAAGAUUAAUACCUGAUGGUAUGAUGAGAUUGCAUGAUAGCAUCAUUAAAGAUUUAUCGGUGUACGAUGGGGAUGCGUUCCAUUAGGUAGUAGGCGGGGUAACGGCCCACCUAGCCAACGAUGGAUAGGGGUUCUGAGAGGAAGGUCCCCCACAUUGGAACUGAGACACGGUCCAAACUCCUACGGGAGGCAGCAGUGAGGAAUAUUGGUCAAUGGACGAGAGUCUGAACCAGCCAAGUAGCGUGAAGGAUGAAGGUCCUACGGAUUGUAAACUUCUUUUAUAAGGGAAUAAACCCUCCCACGUGUGGGAGCUUGUAUGUACCUUAUGAAUAAGCAUCGGCUAACUCCGUGCCAGCAGCCGCGGUAAUACGGAGGAUGCGAGCGUUAUCCGGAUUUAUUGGGUUUAAAGGGAGCGCAGACGGGUCGUUAAGUCAGCUGUGAAAGUUUGGGGCUCAACCUUAAAAUUGCAGUUGAUACUGGCGUCCUUGAGUGCGGUUGAGGUGUGCGGAAUUCGUGGUGUAGCGGUGAAAUGCUUAGAUAUCACGAAGAACUCCGAUUGCGAAGGCAGCACACUAAUCCGUAACUGACGUUCAUGCUCGAAAGUGUGGGUAUCAAACAGGAUUAGAUACCCUGGUAGUCCACACGGUAAACGAUGGAUACUCGCUGUUGGCGAUAUACUGUCAGCGGCUUAGCGAAAGCGUUAAGUAUCUCACCUGGGGAGUACGCCGGCAACGGUGCAACUCAAAUGAAUUGACGGA
rnacentral:rRNA from 2 species